rnacentral:rRNA from 1 species
GUAAGGUGGGAUAGCACGUUGAAUGCUCCAGUUCCCAAUGGAUCACUGAAGUUAGGCAACGUUCCGCGUGGUUGGUAUCCGGAUGGGUGACCAUCUGGACAAUCGCGUGCUGGCCUUCA